AGUCACUGACAUUAGAUACCCGUGUAGUCCAGGGUGUAAACGCUGCAGACUUGGUGUUGGAAGUCCUUUGGGGGCAUUCAGUGCCGGAGAGAAGUUGUUAAGUCUGCUACUUGGGAGUACGUCCGCAAGGAUGAAACUUAAAGGAAUUGGCGGGGAGCACCGCAACGGGAGGAGCGUGCGGUUUAAUUGGAUUCAACGCCGAAAACUCACCAGCAGCGACUGUUACAUGAAAGUCAGGUUGAUGACCUUACUAGAUUUUCAG
rnacentral:rRNA from 1 species